rfam:Synechococcus phage ACG-2014e isolate Syn7803C2, complete genome.
AUUAGUCUCGGUAAGACUCUAAACUAGCCCUGGUGCGGGUGAUGUUCUCGCCGCCUGGUUUCUGCAUUCCAGUUAAAGAUGUAGUGGUGGUGCCAAACC